UACAGAGGAGCCAAGCGUUGUCCGGAUUGACUGGGCGUAAAGCGCACGCAGGCGGACGCGCGCGUGGGGUGUGAAAUCUGGCCGCUUAACGGCCAGGCGCCAUCCCAUACGGCGCGACUGGAGUGAUGCAGAGGUCGAUGGAAUUGCCGGUGUAGUGGUGAAAUGCGUAGAGAUCGGCAGGAACACCCAGGGGGGAAACCAGUCGACUGGGCAUCUACUGACGCUGAGGUGCGAGAGCGUGGGGAGCGACCGG
rnacentral:rRNA from 1 species